AUAUCUCUCAAUCUUAAACGUUUUUCGUUUGAAAUUGGACUUGGGCGUUGUCGUUGUUUAGACGACUCGUCCCUAAAUACAUUAGCGAUCUGCCCCUGAUCACACACAAUGUGAUAAGUUUUUAAGCAUUGUUAUGGUCGGGUUCGGUGAUGGCUUCUAACCGUCGUUAAGACAAACUCAUAUCAUGUC
rnacentral:misc_RNA from 1 species